CGGGUGACGCUUAUGAGAAGCCUUUGUGGCCCUGCAAAGGGUACCCGCCGCGACUAUAAAAAAUGGAGGCGGGUAUUAAAUCGCAAGUCAGCUUCGGCUGGCCACACUUUCGAAUUGCGGGAACUCCCUAAAGCUCGAUUCUACCAACCGCCCGGGGAAACCCAGGCGGGGCCUCUGCUAACAGCAUUGGGUACGGUAACAACGAAGAGAGAUGCGCUGGGCUGCACUUUGCAACCGGGCGAAUGGGUGAUCCGCAGCCAAGUCCCUAAAGCGCUGUUCCAGCGCCAUGGGAAAGGUCCACAGACUAAGUGGAAGUGGGCCGAACAGAUGGCCGUUCGGCUUAAGAUAUAGUCGGGCUUCGGUUGAAAAACCGAGGAAGUCACCGUUCCGUAGGUGAACCUGCGGAAGGAUCAUUACCAAAACGAAGCGUUCUCGGUCACCCGGCCCUGAAGCUUUCAACCAUUUGUGAACCAAACCUUUCUUCGCUUCGGCAGCGAUGGCGCUUCCGCCAUGUCAGCCUGCCGUUAGCACCCGUUUGAAAACCUGCCUCGUAAUCUUGUCUGAACGAAAAGAAUUUGAAUUCAAUCAAAACUUUCAACAACGGAUCUCUUGGUUCCCGCAUCGAUGAAGAACGCAGCGAAACGCGAUAGUUAAUGUGAAUUGCAGAAUUCAGUGAAUCAUCGAGUCUUUGAACGCAUAUUGCGCCCAUUGGUAUUCCAUUGGGCAUGUCUGUUUGAGCGUCAUUUCAAACCCUCGACUUUUGUCGGUUUUGAGCUGGCUUUGCGGGUGCGAACCCAAGCCGGUUUUAAAGUGGUAGGCUUUGCUGGCCGCUGCUCCCAACCAAAAACAUAGUAAAUCCUGCUUGUUCGCGGUGGGGCGGUUCCAGCCCGGAAAAUGACACUCGUGGUUGACCUCAGAUCAGA
rnacentral:rRNA from 1 species